rnacentral:rRNA from 1 species
CUCCAGACUCCUACGGGAGGCAGCAGUGGGGAAUAUUGCACAAUGGGGGAAACCCUGAUGCAGCGACGCCGCGUGAGCGAAGAAGUACCUCGGUAUGUAAAGCUCUAUCAGCAGGGAAGAAGAUGACGGUACCUGACCAAGAAGCUCCGGCUAAAUACGUGCCAGCAGCCGCGGUAAUACGUAUGGAGCAAGCGUUAUCCGGAUUUACUGGGUGUAAAGGGGGCGCAGACGGCAAUGCAAGCCAGGAGUGAAAGCCCGGGGCCCAACCCCGGGACUGCUCUUGGAACUGCAUGGCUGGAGUACAGGAGGGGCAGGCGGAAUUCCUAGUGUAGCGGUGAAAUGCGUAGAUAUUAGGAGGAACACCGGUGGCGAAGGCGGCCUGCUGGACUGUGACUGACGUUGAGGCCCGAAGGCGUGGGGAGCAAACAGGAUUAGAUACCCCUGUA